CUACGGGAUGCUGCAGUCAAGAAUCUUCCCCAAUGGCCGCAAGGCUGAGGGAGCGACGCCGCGUGCAGGAAGAAACCCUUCGGGGUGUAAACUGCUUUUCUAGGGGAGAAAUUCGUGAUGUUACCCUAGGAAUAAGGGGCUGCUAACCUCGUGCCAGCAGCAGCGGUAAUACGAGGGCCCCAAGCGUUAUCCGGAUUCAUUGGGCGUAAAGAGUUCAUAGGCGGCUUAAUGGGUCUUUGGUUAAAUCCCGACGCUCAACGUCUGGACCGCCAAAGAAACUAUUGAGCUAGAGGGCGGGAGAGGCAGAUAGAACUGCCGGUGUAGCAGUAAAAUGCAUUAAUAUCGGCAGGAACAUUCAAUGCGAAGGCAUUCUGCUAGAACGCUCCUGACGCUAUACGAACGAAAGCGUGGGUAGCGAAUGGGAUUAGAUACCCGCGUAGUC
rnacentral:rRNA from 1 species